AGCGGGUGAAAGCUUUUCCCAUUUCAACUUUCUAACCUGGCAACACCACCUUGCUGAGGAAGGCUACUACGAGGACGCCCUUCUGCGGCCGCCUCACUGCCUCCUGGCGCCCCGGCUGGAUCUCCAUCAGUACCCAGCUUCGGAUGAGUAACUGCUAUCUGUUGCGCGGAUACGAGAGAUUUCAGUUUUUAUCUCCCUUCUAACACAUUAGUCGCUUCUGUUGAAAGACGAGGCGAUGUCUCAAGUGAGCAGCACUUGAGAUCUCGAGCAAGAGCACCCCACCCUGCAGAUCGUGGAGAAUUGCUAGCGCGCUUACUUCGAGGCGGUGGUCAAUAGUCUGAUAACUCGCCUCGUCAAGCCUCGCGUCCGCUGUCUUGAAUCAUCAUUAGUGACUACCAGAUAACGUACAGGAGGCAAAGUGUGCGCUAAUAAGAGCCAGCACGUUUUGGACAGGAUGCCCAGAAAGUUGACCCCUACAACCCUGUGAUGGGUUCGCAGAAUUUUUGCCUUAUUCGGUUUUCUUCAUGCGCACCAACCACAUGGAGAUUACUGCACGGCCAUAACAAUCGAAACUUUCGAGCAAUGAAACAAAACAUGGUAGGCUUUACGGCCGUUCGAAAUUUAUUGCCUGGUGUCCUGCUUAAGACAGAUAGAUAAGCGGUUGUCCGGAUCAUUUUCUAUUCUCUGAUACAACUCUAUGGAUCUUGGAUUAAACUGAGGCUAACUCAUUGAACCAUUGAAUAUAUCUUGAUUUUUGCAGUACGAAGUGAAAAUCUUUCAAAUGCAGGAAGAAUAUAUUCACCCCUCUCAAGCAAUCUAGGAAUCAUUAAACCUAUCCGAUCGAAAACAGCACUGGGAAUCGCUAUGAUGACAACAACAGCCCUUUUGCGAUCGGGGUAUGUAUGUAUAAGGCAAGGCGAAAAGGCCUUGGAAGAAUUCGACAAUUAUGCGGCAAUGCAAUGACCGUAUGAAGCGAAGAGAAUAUGAAAUAGAAACCAUGGCAAUUAUACAACUUUUCUUUUUCAUGAGAUGGCAAGUUCUCCGCCCAAACACUAUCACGCAGAACGAGAAAUACACAUGUGGGUAUCCAAGAGCUCGUUAAAAUAGAGCAACAGCGAUAAAAGCCAAAUCUAACAAAAGAAAAUGGGUCUGCGGUGUCAAGAAAAGCAUCACCGUUGGACGAAACCGAAAGCCGAGGUCGUGAUAUGAAAUAUGAGAAGACGCAAAGCGAACAUAAUGAAAACUAAGGACUCAAUUCACAAAGCGCCAUAUCUCAGUUUUAAAACUUAAAAAAAAUAAAAAACGAAAACAAAAAAAGAAGAAAGAAAAAGAAGAAAAGAAAACGAUCCUUAUAACAGGACACCGUCCGGUACUAACUGUUUAUUACUCAACAAGCAGUCAUGACGCCCGUUCGCCUCGCACAUGGCGACGAAACAGGCGAAUAUUCUGGCGGACUCAUGCUGCUGGUAGCUGAUGUUGUCGAUACCAAUGUAUCGCUUCGUCCCUGCCGGGGCCCCAUCGACAAUGUUGACGAGCACUCAGUGAAUUCCGCCUGUGGGGGUGCGAUGCUUCGCGGCGUGAAAAACUCAUCAUAGGGGAUUCCGGCCCGCUCCAGGUCACCACGCGCCGCAGAAGCUUCUGCGAGACUCUCCGUGGUGGAUACCUGGACGGGCAACAACAGAGCCAGCGUGGGAGCAGUCAGGUUCGCGCUGGGUGUGUGGUAGGAGAGUGAGAUUUCGAGCGCGUAGGUGCGCGACGACAGACAGGAGUGGAAGGUCGGGAGGUACGCGCGGGUUAACGGCAGGCUGAUGGGCACCAGGAUGGAGGCCGUAUAGAAGGUUUCCCCGGCGUACCCAGCGCUGGGGCCUGUCAGGGACUCGACUGAGCUUGUAGAUUGGAAGGAAUCCCUGCGACGGAGAAUGGAUGCCGCAGGAGAACAGGAUGAGGUGCCGGUGUGCUUCUGCCACGUUGCGGAGGCGACGCAGCGCGAUGCGAGAGGGACAGUUUGCGUAUAGAUACCUCUGUUGAGCGCCCAGUUGAGAGAAGAGUUCUUAGCGGCGAUGUCGGCCCAAGGCUGCGCCGAGAAGAAUGUAUUUGCCUUUAGCCUUGUCCAUAUCCUACCAAGACGAGGUGGUUGUUGCUCCUCGUUUGUGGGGUCGAAUCGAAGGUGGACUGUCACCAUCGUGCUGGGAGUAUCCUCUAUCGAUUGAGUUGUAGUAGAUGAUGUUGGGACGGGGAUCGCUUUUGGUUGAGCUGCGGCCAUAACAAUUCGGCCUAUCUUGCCCCUAAGGGAGCCCUUUUUCACGUCCUUUUCUUUUCGCAUUUGGAACUCUUCGCUAUCGUCCGGAACGCUCAGCGGGGGAGCUUGAUCCAUGGCCGGAAUGAAACGAACUUUCUCUUUGGCGUCCACCAUCACUUUGAAAGAAUCAUCCUCCGGACACUUUUUAAACACUUGGGCCCUGACCGCAUACUGAAUUUGCGUCAUCAGCGGAGCCAUAUCAUCCAGAAUCGUGCCGCCGUUCCCUGAUAUCGUUGGAUCACCGAGUGAUGGUGGCAAAAGGGUGUGUGCCGCGUGGACUUGAGGAUGGUUGUGUUUAUGAUUGCAUGAACUGGGGAGCAAUUGCUCAGGGACAACAAAAGUAAAAGGGAAUGUGUAUGUUCGACCAGCCUCGAGAAUUCGGUUCUGGGGAUAUUGUUGUUCAUCAAUUGGCUGCGCAAGGCGCAAAAACGUGUGGAACGCGGAAUACCGGCCAAUGGCGGGUCCUGAGACCCCAGGUGAUUCUAUGACAGUUCUAGAGGUGCCUAUUGGAUCGGGCUUAGCAAUGUUCCCAAGGCCCCUUAUAUGGUUUGGGUCCGGAUUUCUUCUACCUUCGAAAGUGAUUGACAGUUUCUCAAAGGAAACAUCAUAAUCAGAUCUGAUACUAACUUCUCCGUCGAUUUUGUCAAGAGUUGUGUAUGAAUUGACUGUGGAUGCCUGCCGAUCCUUGAGAGAAAUUCUCACCACGGGUUUCGAGCGUGGGGAGAAGGCAUUUAAGUUGCGGUUCAUAAUUGAGACAGCCAUCAUACAUGUACCGCCUGUAUCUCAAUCAAGCUGGAGGGGGCACGGCAGGCCCUUGCGGCACAGGAGAAAGUUGGAUACAGCACAAAAUGGAUUAAGGUAAAGCAAUUGAGACACAAUUCGGAGAGCUACAGGGGGAAAACGUAGGUUGAUAUAUAAUAAUUGAUGAAAAUUUACUCUAGAAUCUGUGCUAUCAAAACAUGUCAAAGGAGCGAGCUCUUCCAUGUCUCUUAUAGAUCCGGACGCCGCCUAAAGGGAAUAACUACUCUCUUGCUGCUCAUUCAUCUGUCAUCCAGGCCCACAAAAUGACACCGCAGGGCGUGUGCGUCAUGGAUAGGUUGGAGGACAAUCUGGAAUAUAGGAGAUAUCCUGAGUCAUCGGACUAGCUUCGUACAUGUACAUGUAGCUAGAGGGCUCAACUCAAUCCGCCCAUCGUUUAGCAAGCCAAGAACACUUUGGCUCGAGACUCCACAGUUGACCAGCCGAAAUCCCGAUUGAUGAUGGACUUUUUCAGGAACACUGGACCUACCCCGCCAGGGUAUGACGAACGAAAGAGAAUACCACCAAAGCGGCACUUCGACGGCCUCCCCACAGGCUGGUUUCCACCGUUUUUAUUGUAGCGG
rnacentral:sRNA from 2 species